UGGUGGAGUGAUUUGUCUGCUUAAUUGCGAUAACGAACGAGACCUUAACCUGCUAAAUAGCCCGUAUUGCUUUGGCAGUACGCUGGCUUCUUAGAGGGACUAUCGGCUCAAGCCGAUGGAAGUUUGAGGCAAUAGCA
rnacentral:rRNA from 1 species